UUAUUUCUAUGUAUAAAAUGAAAAAAGGAGUAGGUAAAACAACGCGACAGUUCCAGUCCGGAAAAUUUCCAUCCAAGAGAAUACCUAAAGAUGUCUUAAAGCGGACAUUCGAAAUUGCAUCUUCUUCAAUUGAUGAAUUUUGGCUAAACAAAAACUGUUCAUGCUCCCCACCAACUAAUUAUGAACUGUACAAUGUUUUGAAUCGCUCGAUCACCUAUCAGAAGCUGAGUUUGUCACGAAAUUUCUCAAUGGUUCGGGACUGUAAAAACGUGGAAAAAAUCUUAACUUCAAACGUUUUGGGCGAAAGUUUGCUAAAAAAAGGUUCCUUUCCAAUAUUUUCAGAAAAGAAACGUAAUGCCACAAUGGAAAUGCCCAUAUACAAAAUAUUUUUUCACAUACAUAUUCAUUCAUCCGAAUCGGCCCGAUUUUUAUGAACUUUUUCUUUGAUAUUUAGUAGGUAUGCAAAUAGGUCGUAUAGUAUUGUUCACCUUCCGUGGGUUAACGUUGCUCCUCUCCUUCCCUAGGCUAAACAUCCACGCCUUUGAAACUUCCAGCAAACGCCCAGGGUCGCGCCGAAGCGAACCACGUUUCCCCGGUAACCUUGACAGCGCGGCGGCACUACGACAGUUCUACGCAUCUUUAAGUCUAAAAUAUGAUAAACCAAGACUGGACAAAAUGGCGAAUACCUAGCAAAAUAAAUAAAAGCUCGAAAUUAUUCCGUAAAUGAUAUUUAAGGCAUACAAUCAAAAUAUUUACCCUCAGAAAUUAAAAUGUACAAUUUAAAUAAUCUACAUAUAUAUUAUUUAAAUAAAGUUUUGUAAUUAAUA